UACCUUUCUGAACCCUAGAGUUUUGCAAAGGA
rnacentral:piRNA from 1 species